rnacentral:lncRNA from 1 species
GUGUUCGCCAAAGCGUAAAUUCAAUCAGUAUAAUGGAAUCCACAGCUGAUUAAUCAUAUUAGCGCUCCUGGAGUCCUCCAAGGCUCUGGAUCUUAGGUGGAGAGAAACGUCCACUUAAUGAAGGCAUAACAGCCCAAGGAAGAGGGUGUCAGGCCAGGUAGGAUUUGUGCCCCACAGCACUUUCUCAAGGUAACUGCUAGUUGGGAUGGAUUCCAAUUUUGAAGCAGAAGGUAUCAACAAGGAAAAAGAUACUUUAAUCCCCUACUGGCAGUAAACAUUUAAGUGAAGAAAAAAGCAGAGGUUGCCUAGGUCGGGUACUGACGCUCGGCAGUUUUAACUGAUGGUUUCUACCACCAUUAGAACUUGUGACUUAAAAAUUUUGGGGGCCGGGGAUUUAGCUCAGUGGUUACAGUGCCUGCCUCACAAGUGCAAGGUCCCAAGUUUGAUCCUUGGUACCAAAAAAAUAAAAAAAUAAAAAUUUUGGACAAGGUCUCACUAUGUGGCAUCCAACUCAGUGAUCCUCAUGCCUCAGCCUCCCUGAGCGCUAAGAUAACAGGUGUGCUCUACCAUACUCAGCUACAACUUAUGUGACAUUUUAUCUCAUUAGGAGAAGGGAAGUAGGUCAGGAGAAAACUUCAGGGAAAAAAGUCGAUCUCACUGUGCUGCUGACUGCCAGUUUGCCAGAACCUCUAUAAAAAGUCAACCCUGGACACAUGUGUACCUCAGUGGUAGAGAGCUUGAGUAUGCAUGCACAAGGCCCUGAGUUCCAUCCAUAGCAACACAGACACACACACUUCAAACUUGAGGCCAUAUGAUUAAAGAAGUGAGCCACAUCUGGUAAAACUUAGUUUCAGGGAAAAAAAGUACCAAAGUAAGUACUGAACAUACCAAGCUCAAGAGAGUUCCAUUUACCCAUCUGGCAUUUAUAUGGUACCUGACCAACCCCAAAGGGUUAGAAGCCAGUUGCGGGGAGUUGCUUACUUCCCAGAGGACAGACUUAGGCCCAAAAUGGUUUCGAGGACACCCUCCCUACACAACAGAGGUUAUAAAACCAGUACCCAUUGGAUUGGGGGCAAACGGGAAAUCCUACAGUACUUGUUCUUCUAAAGGGAUAGCUGCUUCUCAGCCCCUGUGGGAGAACAUGGGCCCAGGGGAAGUCUAGAUUUUAAAACUUCUAAGUUGUUCAAUAACUCCUGUAUUUUAAAAUGCUAGCAUCUACAUUUUUUUCAAUACACUACAAGUCAAAUCAAGCCCCCUAGCUAAAGCAAAACCCUUUGGCCACUCACUCACCUUAUGGACUUGUUUUUAUUGAGGGCAGUUCACCCACACAUAUUUAUUCUGGAUGAAAGGAUCACACAGACACACCAUAUCCAUGGAAAAAACCCUCUUGUUUAUUUGAUUAAACAAAAAUAAAAUAAGCUGCAUAGGAACAAUUUUAAAGUCCAAAGAGACACCAACUUU